CAGUCGCCGCGGGAAUACGUAGGGUGCGAGCGUUAAUCGGAAUUACUGGGCGUAAAGCGUGCGCAGGCGGUUAUAUAAAAUAGAUGUGAAAUCCCCGGGCUCAACCUGGGACCUGCAUUUGUGACUGUAUAGCUAGAGUACGGUAGAGGGGGAUGGAAUUCCGCGUGUAGCAGUGAAAUGCGUAGAUAUGCGGAGGAACACCGAUGGCGAAGGCAAUCCCCUGGACCUGUACUGACGCUCAUGCACGAGAGCGUGGGGAGCAAACAGGAUUAGAGACCCGCGUAGUCCCUGUCUCUUAUAC
rnacentral:rRNA from 1 species